GAGCCUUCUGGACUUAAUAAAAAGAUUCCCUCUUCUUCCCCAAAAUGUUUUGGAUUAACCCAUCAACAUUUCUGGACUGAUGAAAUGAUGGGAUCCCUGCAGGCACCAGGCUUCAGGAAGGGAGACUUCGAUCUCUGCUGCCGUUUUUAAGAGGCUUUUAAAAAUCCCUGGAAAAGCCUUUAGGAGCACCUCAGGAAUUUUACCCUGACUUGUUUAACUUCUGUAUCGUCGUUCAGCACACAGAUCGGAGCGAGAGCUUUUGCGGGAUUUCUGUCUGAAGCUGGACUGAAAGGAAAAGAAAAGUUAUCUGUGCAGGCUGGCACUUCUGGCUGGAAGGAAUAUGUUUUCCCAUAUAUUCUGUUCAGUGUUGUCCAUACAAAAAAAGUUGGAGUACAGAGGCUGUGUUUCCUAUAAGAAUGGCACUGACUUAAAAAGAUUUACACCAACAUUCAGGAGGUGCUUCUUGGAAUCCACUGUCUGGUUAGGAGGAGAAUCAGUCCUGUUUGCCAAUAUAAGUGUGAGGUUUGAAAAUCCUGUUCAUUUGAAGCUAGACUCAUAUGCCAAGAGUGAGAGUUACCUUUCGGUAUCACAUGUUUUAUCUCUAAAUGAGAACACGAUGACACCAGCAAAGCCAUCAGCAUUGAAGCCAAAUAAUUAGAAGUGAAAUAAAUAUUGUGAGUAACCUUCAGCUCUAUCACUACAUGAUAAUGAUCACUGCAAAUAUCUAACCAUCAUUACAACUUGGGAUCCCACCUAAAUGUA